CAACUUAGAGCUUGUUAUAAGUGUUUUAUUUACAUUAAAAUGAAAACUGUUAGGCUCAGUUUAGGUUGA
rnacentral:tRNA from 1 species